CCUACGGGUGGCUGCAGUAGGGAAUAUUGCGCAAUGGAGGAAACUCUGACGCAGCGACGCCGCGUGGGUGACGAAGGCCUUCGGGUCGUAAAACCCUGUCGGAAGGGAAGAAUUGCCAUCUGAAUAACAAGCAGAUGGAGUGACGGUACCUUUAAAGGAAGCACCGGCUAACUACGUGCCAGCAGCCGCGGUAAUACGUAGGGUGCAAGCGUUGUUCGGAAUUAUUGGGCGUAAAGCGCGUGUAGGUGGUUAUCUAAGUCGAUUGUAAAAGCCCU
rnacentral:rRNA from 1 species